rnacentral:lncRNA from 1 species
AAUCAAAGCAAUCCCUAUUUUAAGAUCAACCAAACCAGCUCACCUCUCUCUCUCUCUCUCUCUCUCUCUCUCUCUCUCUCUCUCUCUCUCUCUCUCUCUUAAGGUCCCACUUUGUAUCUAAGGUUUAUCUGAUAUUAUUCAUUCAAAAAAAUUCUAACUAAGAAUAUAUAAAAAUAUAUACAUUUUUUAUUAGGAUCGCAGAAAUUAUAUCUUAACUGGACUAGUAUAAAUCGUGUCUUAUGUUAAUAUAUAUUUUUUAUAAUUGUUAUAAAAAAUACAAUUCCAUAUAUCUUAUCCAUCACAAACCAAAUAGUGACACCCUAAACCCAACACAAACCAAGUUAAGGUCCACUAUACUUUUGGGCACUGUCAUAUUGCUGCUAUUUAAAAACCUUGGAUCAUUUGUUGUCUCUUGCAAUUUUCUAUGUUGCUUGUUGUGGCAUGAGAGUGGGAUAAUUAGAGAACACUUCUCAAGGUGGGUUUGAAUUUUGAAGUUAUCUCUAUUUUCUAUUAUGAUGAAUUAGCCUACACUCUAUCAUUCUUUUAUUAAAAAUAGUCAUUAAAAACAGAGUUUUUUUAUACCUUGCUUCUUUUAAUUUCGCCAAUUUAUUAUGUUUCUUGUUAUAUCAUCACCCAUUUUAGUUUUAACAAGUGUUGCGAAGAUCUCUGUGAGAGAA